rnacentral:rRNA from 2 species
AGAGUUUGAUCAUGGCUCAGAUUGAACGCUGGCGGCAGGCCUAACACAUGCAAGUCGAACGGUAACAGGAAGCAGCUUGCUGCUUCGCUGACGAGUGGCGGACGGGUGAGUAAUGUCUGGGAAACUGCCUGAUGGAGGGGGAUAACUACUGGAAACGGUGGCUAAUACCGCAUAACGUCGCAAGACCAAAGAGGGGGACCUUCGGGCCUCUUGCCAUCAGAUGUGCCCAGAUGGGAUUAGCUAGUUGGUGAGGUAACGGCUCACCAAGGCGACGAUCCCUAGCUGGUCUGAGAGGAUGACCAGCCACACUGGAACUGAGACACGGUCCAGACUCCUACGGGAGGCAGCAGUGGGGAAUAUUGCACAAUGGGCGCAAGCCUGAUGCAGCCAUGCCGCGUGUAUGAAGAAGGCCUUCGGGUUGUAAAGUACUUUCAGCGGGGAGGAAGGUGUUGUGGUUAAUAACCACAGCAAUUGACGUUACCCGCAGAAGAAGCACCGGCUAACUCCGUGCCAGCAGCCGCGGUAAUACGGAGGGUGCAAGCGUUAAUCGGAAUUACUGGGCGUAAAGCGCACGCAGGCGGUCUGUCAAGUCGGAUGUGAAAUCCCCGGGCUCAACCUGGGAACUGCAUUCGAAACUGGCAGGCUUGAGUCUUGUAGAGGGGGGUAGAAUUCCAGGUGUAGCGGUGAAAUGCGUAGAGAUCUGGAGGAAUACCGGUGGCGAAGGCGGCCCCCUGGACAAAGACUGACGCUCAGGUGCGAAAGCGUGGGGAGCAAACAGGAUUAGAUACCCUGGUAGUCCACGCCGUAAACGAUGUCUACUUGGAGGUUGUGCCCUUGAGGCGUGGCUUCCGGAGCUAACGCGUUAAGUAGACCGCCUGGGGAGUACGGCCGCAAGGUUAAAACUCAAAUGAAUUGACGGGGGCCCGCACAAGCGGUGGAGCAUGUGGUUUAAUUCGAUGCAACGCGAAGAACCUUACCUGGUCUUGACAUCCACAGAACUUUCCAGAGAUGGAUUGGUGCCUUCGGGAACUGUGAGACAGGUGCUGCAUGGCUGUCGUCAGCUCGUGUUGUGAAAUGUUGGGUUAAGUCCCGCAACGAGCGCAACCCUUAUCCUUUGUUGCCAGCGGUUAGGCCGGGAACUCAAAGGAGACUGCCAGUGAUAAACUGGAGGAAGGUGGGGAUGACGUCAAGUCAUCAUGGCCCUUACGACCAGGGCUACACACGUGCUACAAUGGCGCAUACAAAGAGAAGCGACCUCGCGAGAGCAAGCGGACCUCAUAAAGUGCGUCGUAGUCCGGAUUGGAGUCUGCAACUCGACUCCAUGAAGUCGGAAUCGCUAGUAAUCGUGGAUCAGAAUGCCACGGUGAAUACGUUCCCGGGCCUUGUACACACCGCCCGUCACACCAUGGGAGUGGGUUGCAAAAGAAGUAGGUAGCUUAACCUUCGGGAGGGCGCUUACCACUUUGUGAUUCAUGACUGGGGUGAAGUCGUAACAAGGUAACCGUAGGGGAACCUGCGGUUG